rnacentral:rRNA from 1 species
GCCUGAUGGAGGGGGAUAACUACUGGAAACGGUAGCUAAUACCGCAUAACGUCGCAAGACCAAAGAGGGGGACCUUAGGGCCUCUUGCCAUCGGAUGUGCCCAGAUGGGAUUAGCUAGUAGGUGGGGUAACGGCUCACCUAGGCGACGAUCCCUAGCUGGUCUGAGAGGAUGACCAGCCACACUGGAACUGAGACACGGUCCAGACU